rnacentral:lncRNA from 10 species
AUUUCCGGGAAGAUGGCGGCGCACAAGUCAGGUCCGGCACAUGUUUCCGCGGAGCGGACCCAGCAAUGACGAGGCAGGGUUUCACUACGUUGCCCACACUGGUCUGGAACUCCUGGGCUCAAGUGAUUCUUCUACCUUGGCCUUCCAAAGUGCUGGGAUUACAAAUGUGAACCACUGUGCCUGGCCGCUUUAUUCUUUUUAUGAGAGAGGGUCUUGCUAUACUGCCCAGGCUGGACUCAAGCAAUCCCGCCUCAGCCUCCCAUGUAGCUGGGACUACAGGUGUGUGCCACUGCACCCAACUAGCAGAGAAUUCUUAACAAGCAGUCAGGAUGGAACUGAUGGCUGUUUGGGCACUUUCUACUUUCUUCUUAAAAGGAUGAUAUCACCUCUUCUUCUCUGGUGAGAGUCUGAGGAUAGAGACUUUUUUCUCACCAUGAAUGUCACCCCAGAGGUCAAGAGUCGUGGGAUGAAGUUUGCUGAGGAGCAGCUGCUAAAGCAUGGAUGGACUCAAGG